AGCUACUAAGAGCGAAUGGUGGAUGCCUUGACUGGUAAAGGCGAUGAAGGACGUACUAGACUGCGAUAAGCUACGGGGAGCUGUCAAGAAGCUUUGAUCCGUAGAUUUCCGAAUGGGGCAACCCAAUGUAUAGAGAUAUACAUUACCUAUAUAGGAGCGAACGAGGGGAAUUGAAACAUCUUAGUACCCUCAGGAAAAGAAAUCAAUAGAGAUUGCGUCAGUAGCGGCGAGCGAAAGCGUAAGAGGGCAAACCCAGUGCUUGCACUGGGGGUUGUAGGACUGCAAUGUGCAAGAGGUGAGUUUAGCAGAACAUUCUGGAAAGUAUAGCCAUAGAGGGUGAUAGUCCCGUAUGCGAAAAACAAACCUUAGCUAGCAGUAUCCUGAGUAGGGCGGGACACGAGAAAUCCUGUCUGAAGCUGGGUCGACCACGAUCCAACCCUAAAUACUAAUACCAGAUCGAUAGUGCACAAGUACCGUGAGGGAAAGGUGAAAAGAACUGAGGUGAUCAGAGUGAAAUAGAACCUGAAACCAUUUGCUUACAAUCAUUCAGAGCACUAUGUAGCAAUACAGUGUGAUGGACUGCCUUUUGCAUAAUGAGCCUGCGAGUUGUGGUGUCUGGCAAGGUUAAGCAAACGCGAAGCCGUAGCGAAAGCGAGUCUGAAUAGGGCGCUUAGUCAGAUGCUGCAGACCCGAAACGAAGUGAUCUAUCCAUGAGCAAGUUGAAGCUAGUGUAAGAACUAGUGGAGGACUGAACCCAUAGGCGUUGAAAAGCCCCGGGAUGACUUGUGGAUAGGGGUGAAAGGCCAAUCAAACUUCGUGAUAGCUGGUUCUCUCCGAAAUAUAUUUAGGUAUAGCGUUGUGUCGUAAUAUAAGGGGGUAGAGCACUGAAUGGGCUAGGGCAUACACCAAUGUACCAAACCCUAUCAAACUCCGAAUACCUUAUAUGUAAUCACAGCAGUCAGGCGGCGAGUGAUAAAAUCCGUCGUCAAGAGGGAAACAACCCAGACUACCAGCUAAGGUCCCUAAAUCUUACUUAAGUGGAAAACGAUGUGAAGUUACUUAAACAACCAGGAGGUUGGCUUAGAAGCAGCCAUCCUUUAAAGAAAGCGUAAUAGCUCACUGGUCUAGUGAUUUUGCGCGGAAAAUAUAACGGGGCUAAAGUAAGUACCGAAGCUGUAGACUUGCGCACAACUUAGAUUAUUUAAGUUUAGAAUAUGAGAAACUAAGUUAUAUGUUUAGUUAUAUUUUUACUGAUUUUUAUAGAGUAAAGAUAGAAAUAAAACUUAGUAAAAUCAGUAAAAAUAUUCUUAGACUAAAGUUAAGUAGUUUAAGUUGUGUGCAAGUGGUAGGAGAGCGUUCUAUUUGCGUCGAAGGUAUACCGGUAAGGAGUGCUGGAGCGAAUAGAAGUGAGCAUGCAGGCAUGAGUAGCGAUAAUUAAUGUGAGAAUCAUUAACGCCGUAAACCCAAGGUUUCCUACGCGAUGCUCGUCAUCGUAGGGUUAGUCGGGUCCUAAGUCGAGUCCGAAAGGGGUAGACGAUGGCAAAUUGGUUAAUAUUCCAAUACCAACAUUAGUGUGCGAUGGAAGGACGCUUAGGGCUAAGGGGGCUAGCGGAUGGAAGUGCUAGUCUAAGGUCGUAGGAGGUUAUACAGGCAAAUCCGUAUAACAAUACUCCGAGAACUGAAAGGCUUUUUGAAGUCUUCGGAUGGAUAGAAGAACCCCUGAUGCCAUCGAGCCAAGAAAAGUUUCUAAGUUUAGCUAAUGUUGCCCGUACCGUAAACCGACACAGGUGGGUGGGAUGAGUAUUCUAAGGCGCGUGGAAGAACUCUCUUUAAGGAACUCUGCAAAAUAGCACCGUAUCUUCGGUAUAAGGUGUGGUUCGCUUCGUAUUAGGAUUUACUCCGAAAGCGAAGAAACUUACAACAAAGAGUCCCUCCCGACUGUUUACCAAAAACACAGCACUCUGCUAACUCGUAAGAGGAUGUAUAGGGUGUGACGCCUGCCCGGUGCUCGAAGGUUAAUUGAUGGGGUUAGCAUUAGCGAAGCUCUUGAUCGAAGCCCGAGUAAACGGCGGCCGUAACUAUAACGGUCCUAAGGUAGCGAAAUUCCUUGUCGGUUAAAUACCGACCUGCAUGAAUGGCGUAACGAGAUGGGAGCUGUCUCAAAGAGGGAUCCAGUGAAAUUGUAGUGGAGGUGAAAAUUCCUCCUACCCGCGGCAAGACGGAAAGACCCCGUGGACCUUUACUACAGCUUGACACUGCUAUUUGGAUAAGAAUGUGCAGGAUAGGUGGGAGGCUUUGAGUAUAUGACGCCAGUUGUAUAUGAGCCAUUGUUGAGAUACCACUCUUUCUUAUUUGGGUAGCUAACCAGCUUGAGUUAUCCUC
rnacentral:rRNA from 1 species